rnacentral:piRNA from 1 species
UAGCACUCACCCUAAGGUCUCUAAAGAA